GACAGAGGGGGCAAGCGUUGCUCGGAAUCACUGGGCGUAAAGGGCGCGUAGGCGGGAUGGCAAGUCAGUCGUGAAAUCUCUCGGCUCAACCGAGAAACGUCGGCUGAUACUGCCGUUCUUGAGGGAUGCAGAGGAGACUGGAAUUCCCGGUGUAGCGGUGAAAUGUGUAGAGAUCGGGAGGAACACCGGUGGCGAAGGCGGGUCUCUGGGCAUCUCCUGACGCUGAGG
rnacentral:rRNA from 1 species